GGUGUUAAUAUCCUACCGGACUAGGAGCUUCCGGGAAACCAAAGUUUUUCGUUUCCGGGGGAAGUAUGGUUGCAAAGCUGAAACUUAAAGGAAUUGACGGAAGGGCACCACCAGGAGUGGAGCCUGCGGCUUAAUUUGACUCAACACGGGAAAACUCACCCGGCCCGGACACCGUAAGGAUUGACAGACUGAAAGCUCUUUCUUAAUUCGGUGGGUGGUGGUGCAUGGCCGUUCUUAGUUGGUGGAGCGAUUUGUCUGGUUAAUUCCGAUAACGAACGAAACUCUGGCCUACUAAAUAAACAGAGGAUCAAUAAUGACUGGCCUUCUUUCUUAAAGGAAAAAAGGGUUUCUACCCCCCUAAAAUAAAAAAAAAAAAGGCCGGGAAGGCCUUAAAUUGCCGGGGGCGGCCCCCCCCCUACCUGAAAAAA
rnacentral:rRNA from 1 species